GAAAAAAUUAAAUGUGGAAUUCUAUUUUCCAGAGAUGAUGGUUCAGACCAAUAAAAUAAAAGACAACAGCUUAACCAAAGCUCCAAUGAAGUGCCCAACAAGCUACAAUCCUGAAAAAAAAAACAAUUGGUUGCCAAGAGAGGACAG